UCCACCGUGUCACUUAAGCAUUAUUUUCCUUUUUUUUUUUUUUCCCCUCAAUCAAAAACAUCAUUAGAUGGAGUGCACAUCCUGUGGAGCUGAGGACAAACAUCUCCUGUGUCUUGUCCCAUGUAGGAGGGAAAUGGCAAGUGGAUAUCAUUGGUCUUAUUUGAACAACAAAAGGAAUAAGAAAUGAAGACUCUCAGCCAUGCUCUUCUGGGCUGGCUAGCUCAAUUUCCAUGGUCAAUUAAUAAGCAUAAAGACAGUAUUCUUAAUACAGCUCACCAGGGCGACUACUAUGAUUAUUAUAAGAUUAUAAGGAGGAUAAUCCCCACGAUCUAGAGUGUAGUUUGGGACCAUGGUCCCCAAGAUCCAAACCAAUCAGAAUCAAGUGAAAGAGAAACCUUCGUUGAAGGAGAGUCCCUUAAAGACAACUGGCUGGUUCAGUGAUCUUGUAUAGCUGAGCCUUGGCUUUGCUGGAAGAGUCCACCUAAGUGAAUCAAGUGGUGCUGGCCAUAGCACAGACUCCUCCUGGCUCUGCUAAGAGAUAAUCAAAAACUAUCCUAUUACCAAGAACAGCUUUGGGUGGCUCCUGGAAGUGGGGCUGGUGCAGGGCCGUCAUGUUGCAGCAGGAUAGUAAUGACACGGAGGAUGUUUCCCUGUUUGAUGCGGCAGAGGAGACCACUAACAGACCAAAAAAAUCCAAGAUCAGACACCCAGUGGCAUCAUUUUUCCAUUUACUCUUUCGAGUCAGUGCAGUUGUAGUCUAUCUUCUUUGUGAAUUGUUCAGCAGCAGCUUUAUUGCCUGUAUGGUGACAAUUACUUGUUGUGUGACUUUCGGGCUGUCAAGAAUGUCACAGGUAGACUCAUGGUUGAUCUGUGUUGGUGGAAUCACAUAGAUGAAGAUGGAAAAAGCCACUGGGUGUUUGAGUCCAGGAAGGCAUCCGCUCAAGAGAGUAAACCUGUUUCUGAGGCUGAAUCAAGGAUUUUUUGGUUAGGACUUACUGCCUGUCCAGUGCUGUGGGUGAUAUUCGCCUUCAGCGCGCUCUUCUCCUUCAGAGCGAAGUGGUUGUGGUUAUCAUGGGUGUGACGCUACAAGGUGCCAACCUGUAAGGUUACAUCAGGUGCAAAGUGGGCAGCAGGAAGAAUUCAACCAACAUGGCUACGUCUUAUCUCGGAAAGCAGUUUUGAAAACAAAACACCGGAGAUGAGCAGACUUCCUGAAGAGAGUGAGAGCAAGCUCAUGUGUCUGUUGCACUGGGGAACAGCUGAAGAGAUUCUUGACUCUGAGGCUUUUGGAACUCAGUGCGUAUUGCAAAGAGGAGUGUUGGGUUUGUUUUUCCGGUUUAAAAUUUACUUUAAAAAAAAAUGGACAGUUUAGUUUUCAUAUCAAGUUUUUAUUCUCUUUCUGGCAUUUUGGGGCUUGAAAGUAUGGUGUGGCCAGGAACAUUGUCAAAAUUGGUUCCUGGUUUAUACAUGUAUGCACGUAGUCCUGUAAUGUCCGUAUAUCCCAAAUUACUGAAAGUGCGUUCAUGUACAUACGUAAUGGAGACCUUUGCAUUUGGAUCCGUAGAAUAUAGGAGGAUGAUCUCGGUCUGUCUCAGAAAUCUAGGUGUGUACAUAUUAUUUCUGUAGAUUAUUGUCAGAAGAAAGUUUUGCUUCCAUGGGAAGAGUGAGCACUUUGGCUCACGUGUAAGUUAGAGAUAAUUGUUAAUUUUACACCUUAAUGUAUACUUCGCGACGAAACGUCUUAUCUUACUCACUCAAAGGCAGGUAAAAAACAAAUUUGGGCCAGUGGUUAACUAGUUUGUAAAUUUUAUUUUUAUUUGUAAUAACCCAUGUCCUUAAGGCCCAAUUAAUGUAAAUGGAAUUUUCACAGUUUAUGGUUAGGGGAUUCCUUUGAGAUUGCUGCUGUUCUAUUUAUUUUUUGGAAGGGAAAGCCAGAUUUUACUUUAAAACUUCCUGGAAGCUCUUCAGUGGGCCUUGGCCUAAUGAAAUUUAUCUUUUAUCACUAAAAGAGUAUUAUUCUUAUGUCAUAGUGAGAAUAAUCAUUUAAAUACUUGGCAUAAUAAAUGCCUAAAAGACAUUUUAUUGUAUGAAUCUAUUUUUUUCUCGCUAUAAUGGGGAUAUUAUAAAUCAUGCCUUUGUAUUAAUGGUAUUUCUUAAUAUAUGUCACAAUCUACAAGCGGUUGUAGGAGUCUAUAAAUUCUGUUGUAGGUUCUAUAAACUUUGUUGGUGUCUUUUAACCAGCAGAUUAUUUUGUGGAAUGUAUUUAUACAUUAUUAAAAAUUUUAAAAAGA